GCAACAAAUCACAGCGGAGCCGGGUAAAAGGGGGCGGAGCAAAGUGUGUGUGUGCAGGAGAGGAGUCGAGCAGAGAGAGCUGCUUUUUCAUGAAACGGGAGUAAAGUAGUGAACUUACAGGAACAUAUACCACUACCAACGUUGGGAUCGAUAUCUGCAUCGAUCCGCACAUAAUUGUCUCGUGAAUCCUAGCUCAGAUCAGCGUGAACCACGUGGGUCUCUGCUCCCUGAUCUGUUUCUUAAGACGUCCAGCUUCAUCACGGAGUUUCUCUCGGUUUGUGGGCUCAUCUAAAGCUGAGUAACAGGAGAAGAGUCUGGUGGAGCAACAGAGGAACAAUUUCAGCCAUUUGGACUCAGCUCAGCCACUACAGAGGAAACAAUGACUUCAACACAAAAGGACCAACAUGGAGCGAGAAGUCAGCGCUCUCAGGAGGCCGACAAACCUCACAGAAGAAAGGGAGAG